rnacentral:tRNA from 1 species
UAGCUCAGUUGGUUAGAGCGCCUGCCUGUCACGCAGGAGGUCGCGGGUUCGAGUCCCGUCUAUCC